GAUGAACGCUGGCGGCGUGCAUAACACAUUCAAGUCGAACGAAGUAAACGGGGCUUGCUCUGUUUACUUAGUGGCGGACGGGUGAGUAACGCGUGAGCAAUCUGCCUCUGUGUGCGGAAUAACAGCCGGAAACAGCUGCUAAUACCGCAUGAUGUAUUUUAGCCGCAUGGUUUUAAUACCAAAGAUUUAUCGCACAGAGAUGAGCUUGCGUCCGAUUAGAUAGUUGGUGAGGUAACGGCUCACCAAGUCGACGAUCGGUAGCCGGACUGAGAGGUUGAACGGCCACAUUGGAACUGAGAUACGGUCCAGACUCCUACGGGAGGCAGCAGUGGGGAAUUUUGGGCAAUGGGCGAAAGCCUGACCCAGCGACGCCGCGUGAAGGAAGAAGGUCUUCGGAUUGUAAACUUCUGUCAACAGGGAAGAAACAAAUGACGGUACCUGUGGAGGAAGCCACGGCUAACUACGUG
rnacentral:rRNA from 1 species